rnacentral:ribozyme from 1 species
CCAUUCACCGUGUGCUGCAAGCACGAACGCGUGAACGCGUGAACCGACCAACGUGCAAAUUGCUAAUUAAUGCAGCCGACUGCUUUUCUGUGUUCUGUAUGCUGUAGUUGUA